rnacentral:rRNA from 1 species
GGCUAAACCAUGCACCGAAGCUGCGGCAGCGAACGUAUCACCCAAGACAACUUUACGGAGUUGACGAUUGACGGAGCGAAGCGACGUCAAAGCGUUCAUUAAAGUCGAGUUGGCUUAGGGAUACGUUCGUUGGGUAGGGGAGCGUUCUGUAAGCCUGUGAAGGUGUGUCGUGAGGCAUGCUGGAGGUAUCAGAAGUGCGAAUGCUGACAUAAGUAACGAUAAAGCGGGUGAAAAGCCCGCUCGCCGGAAGACCAAGGGUUCCUGUCCAACGUUAAUCGGGGCAGGGUGAGUCGACCCCUAAGGCGAGGCCGAAAGGCGUAGUCGAUGGGAAACGGGUUAAUAUUCCCGUACUUGGUGUUACUGCGAAGGGGGGACGGAGAAGGCUAUGUUGGCCGGGCGACGGUUGUCCCGGUUUAAGCGUGUAGGUGUGUGUUCCAGGUAAAUCCGGUUCACUUUAACACUGAGGCGUGACGACGAGGCACUACGGUGCUGAAGCAACAAAUGCCCUGCUUCCAGGAAAAGCCUCUAAGCAUCAGGUAACAUCAAAUCGUACCCCAAACCGACACAGGUGGUCAGGUAGAGAAUACCAAGGCGCUUGAGAGAACUCGGGUGAAGGAACUAGGCAAAAUGGUGCCGUAACUUCGGGAGAAGGCACGCUGACACGUAGGUGAAGUGAUUUACUCA